GGGGACGUAGCUUAGAGGAAGCGCCCUUGCUUUGCAAGAUUGAGGUCCUGGAUUCAAUACCCAGCAUCUCCA